rnacentral:rRNA from 1 species
UCCCAGACUCCUACGGGAGGCAGCAGUGAGGAAUAUUGGUCAAUGGCCGGAAGGCUGAACCAGCCAAGCCGCGUGAGGGAGGAAGGCGCAGAGCGUCGCAGACCUCUUUUGCCGGGGGACAAAAGGCCGGACUCGUCCGGUCCUGAGGGUACCCGGAGAAAAAGCAUCGGCUAACUCCGUGCCAGCAGCCGCGGUAAUACGGAGGAUGCGAGCGUUAUCCGGAUUUAUUGGGUUUAAAGGGUGCGUAGGCGGGCUUUUAAGUCAGCGGUAAAAAUUCGGGGCUCAACCCCGUCCGGCCGUUGAAACUGGGGGCCUUGAGUGGGCGAGAAGAAGGCGGAAUGCGUGGUGUAGCGGUGAAAUGCAUAGAUAUCACGCAGAACCCCGAUUGCGAAGGCAGCCUUCCGGCGCCCUACUGACGCUGAGGCACGAAAGUGCGGGGAUCGAACAGGAUUAGAUACCCUAGUAA